AGAAGCCGAGCGCUGGUUGACGGCUGGGCGGCCAUUUUGGGUGUGGCCUUCUCGGUUUCAGGGAGAGAAGUUUUAGAGCGUAAAGUUUUAUUAAGACAAAAAAACCAAGCCUCAGGAACCUAUCGCUAGUGGCAGCCCGGGCCCCGCCGAGCUCAGCCCCGCCCAGGCACGCGCUGCUGGUCGCCGCCCCGACGCGGGCAUCCAGGGCGGGAGAGGCGGCGCGAUGCAGCCCCUGGACGCGGGCGAGGCGCGGGAGCCCGAGGAGGACCUGGGCGGUCUCCGGAGCCCCGCGCUCCGCUUGGGCCGCGAGGACCUCGCCGCCCUCGAGCGCGAGCACGUGCGGGCGCGCGGCAGGGCCCGCAGGAAGCUGAUGGAGAUCGAGAGCCUGCUGGACGAGAUCGGGAGCGAGGUGGCGGCCUCGGAGGAGAGCGCCGUGGAUGCCGCGCGCGCUGCGCGGGCGGAGGAGAGAGUGGUGAAGCUGUGCGCCGAGGCGGAGAAGAAAGCCAUGGAGGCGGCGCGCGUGGGCAGGAGGAUCGUGGAGCUGCACCGGCAGAUCGACGGCUGCGAGUGUUACUGAGCGGCGGGAGCCGGCGGGCCUCCCCGGGGCUGGAUGGCCGAGAGCAGUCAAGAGCGGAUUGUGCUGUGUUACCCAGGUUGGCUGAAUAUUUCUAAAUUUUACUAGGAGUUUGGAGCAUUUCACUUGAACCUUUCUGUUAGAGGUGACAUUCUGCUUGUGGAAUUGUGGUUUUCACCCCAGGAUGGUGGCUUCUGAUUUGCAGGUGUCAAAGAUAAAGAAAACUGGACACUAGUUCACAAUAGAUUUAAUUCAGUAAUGACUACCGCAAUAGGGAAGAGAACCCAGUGUGAACUGAACUCAGCUGUGUCAAAGCAAAAGGCAGGAGACUUUUUCAAGGUUGGGGUAUGCUGGGGAAAGGUGCUGAAGGGGAAAAGUGGGGUUUGAUCCACCUGUCUAGGCCAUCUGGACUUGCUAGUUAGUGCUUAUCCAGAGGAGAAAUAAACCUCUCCUAUCUUUAUUACAGAAGUGGUGCAAGUUGGAGCAAGUAGGCCCUUACUCUCCCACAGGAACUGGGAGCAAGAAUGACAGUUAUCUCUUUGCAUGUUUGUGUUUCAAGGAGCCAGCUCUCAGAUCUGUAAGGAGGCACUAUGGGAGAUGUACAUGUCAAAGGGCAGAGAAAGGACUUGUAAUUGCAAGUUUUCUAAAGUAACUGCUCUUAAAGAGGGCCCAGGGGCCUAUCUCCCUAUCAUCAGGUUCAUUUUAGCUGGAACAAGCAGUAGAUUUUCCUGGAAGGCUGAGCUUUCCUAGGCAGGCACUUCAAGUGGGGCUGGGGUUUUCCUGGGAAGGCAGCCUCAAGCCGCUAGAAGCCAUGCCAGAGUUGGGACCAAGUCCUAUAUGCUGAGCAUUCAUUGUGGUUCUCACAAGCAACCUCUUGAUUAUAAAUUCCUUCCAGCUGUCCAUGACGUUCACCAGCAGACUUCCACCAACUGACAUCCUGGAAAAGGGCUCAGCAUCAUGACAAUCUCUUUCGGACCCUUCUGGGCAUAAGAGGAGAGAAGUCCGCAAAGGGCCUGGAUGCCUGGGGAAGGAAUCGUGGAGCUGGCUGCUGUGGCCUUCUUCCCAGGCCACGGGGUACCUGGUUACACUCACUGUAAUGGCAGACCUGACAGAGACCCGAGGUUAAAACAUCAUCUGUAAUUGUUGCUUGAUAAUUGUAAGACCUAAAAACCCAUGUAUUACAUAUGUUUAUCCGGAUAAACCAAAGCCCUUAAACUUUGCCGGGAAAAAGACAAUAAAGCAUGUUUCUCAGGA